CCUACGGGAGGCAGCAGUGAGGAAUAUUGGUCAAUGGGCGAGAGCCUGAACCAGCCAAGUCGCGUGAAGGAUGACGGCCCUACGGGUUGUAAACUUCUUUUGUCAGGGAGCAAUUUGGUCCACGCGUGGGCUUAGCGAGAGUACCUGAAGAAAAAGCCUCGGCUAACUCCGUGCCAGCAGCCGCGGUAAUACGGAGGAUGCGAGCGUUAUCCGGAUUUAUUGGGUUUAAAGGGUGCGUAGGCGGAAUAUCAAGUCAGCGGUAAAAAUUCGGGGCUCAACCCCGUCGUGCCGUUGAAACUGAUGGUCUUGAGUGGGCGAGAAGUAUGCGGAAUGCGUGGUGUAGCGGUGAAAUGCAUAGAUAUCACGCAGAACUCCGAUUGCGAAGGCAGCAUACCGGCGCCCAACUGACGCUGAAGCACGAAAGCGUGGGUAUCGAACAGGAUUAGAUACCCCUGUAGUC
rnacentral:rRNA from 1 species